UGGGAGAACGUGUGUGGGGGAAUGCCGAAGUGGUUUCGCGACAUGCGGUCUCUCAUG
rnacentral:pre_miRNA from 1 species